GAUGAACGCUGGCGGCGUGCCUAACACAUGCAAGUCGAACGAGCAGUCCGGGUCCUGUGGCGCCCGGGUUUGUCACGGGUGGGAACCUGAACUCAGGUUUGGCAUACCUCUACGACAGGGGUGCUAUUACGGGAUCAUGUCUUCGGCCCAAAGAUUUAUUGCAUUUGGUUGGACAAGAGUUGGAUUAGCUAGUUGGUAGGGUAAUAGCCUACCAAGGCGACAAUCCAUAAAUGGUUUGUGAGGAUGCUUAGCGACACUGGGACGGAGACACGGCCUAGACUCCUACGGGAUGCAGCAGUGGGUAAUGUUGGACAGUGGGCGAAGUCCUGAUCCAGCAAUGCCGCGUGAGUGAUGAAGUCCUUAGGGUUGUAAAGCUCUUGUACCCGGGAUGAUAAUGACAGUACCGAGAGAAUAAGCUCCGGCUAACUCCGUG
rnacentral:rRNA from 1 species